ACGUGCUGACGCUAAUUGUAUAUGAGCGCGAGCGGCGGGCUCUCGGGUCUUUUUUAGCGCCAUCUGCUCGCGGCGCCGCCUCCCGCUCCUCCCGCUCCUCCCGCCGCCGCCGCCGCCGCCGCCGCCGCCGCCGCCCUGAGUCACUGCCUGCGCAGCUCCGGCCCGUCCGGCUCCGCGUUCGAGCCUCCUGGAACGAUAUUUGGAAUUCUUACAAGAUGGCCGACAUGGACAACAAAGAACAGUCUGAACUUGAUCAAGAUUUGGAUGACGUUGAAGAAGUAGAAGAGGAGGAGACGGGUGAAGAAACAAAAAUCAAAGCGCGUCAGCUGACUGUUCAGAUGAUGCAAAAUCCUCAGAUUCUUGCAGCCCUUCAGGAAAGACUGGAUGGUCUGGUAGACACACCAACAGGAUACAUUGAAAGCUUGCCUAAAGUAGUCAAGAGACGAGUGAACGCUCUCAAAAACCUACAAGUGAAGUGUGCACAGAUCGAAGCCAAAUUCUAUGAGGAAGUUCAUGAUCUCGAGAGGAAGUAUGCUGUGCUCUACCAGCCUUUAUUUGAUAAGCGGUCUGAGAUCAUUAAUGCACUUUAUGAGCCUACAGAAGAAGAGUGUGAGUGGAAAGCAGACGAGGAAGAAGAAGUUGCAGAGGAAAUGAAAGAAAAGGCCAAGAUUGAAGAUGAGAAAAAGGACGAAGAGAAAGAAGAUCCUAAAGGGAUUCCUGAAUUCUGGUUGACCGUUUUUAAGAAUGUGGAUUUGCUCAGUGAUAUGGUUCAGGAACAUGAUGAACCUAUCCUGAAGCACUUGAAAGAUAUUAAAGUGAAGUUCUCAGAUGCUGGCCAGCCCAUGAGUUUUAUCUUAGAAUUUCACUUUGAACCCAAUGAAUAUUUCACAAAUGAAGUGUUAACAAAGACUUACAGGAUGAGGUCAGAACCAGAUGAUUCUGACCCCUUUUCUUUUGAUGGACCAGAAAUUAUGGGUUGUACAGGGUGCCAGAUAGAUUGGAAAAAAGGAAAAAAUGUUACUUUGAAAACCAUUAAAAAGAAGCAGAAACACAAGGGACGUGGGACAGUUCGUACUGUGACUAAAACAGUUUCCAAUGAUUCUUUCUUUAAUUUUUUUACUCCUCCUGAAGUCCCUGAGAAUGGAGAUCUGGACGAUGAUGCUGAAGCUAUACUGGCCGCAGACUUUGAAAUUGGCCACUUCUUACGGGAGCGGAUAAUCCCAAGAUCAGUGUUAUACUUUACUGGAGAGGCUAUUGAGGAUGAUGACGAUGAUUAUGAUGAAGAAGGUGAAGAAGCUGAUGAGGGUUAUCAGCUCUUUGAAGAAGUCAAAAGCUGCAGUAAACUUUUCCAACGUUGGCUGCAGUAAAUCUUUUCAAUAAAAGCUGUCUGGAUGUCUCAAGUUGUGUUGGGGAAUUUUUCAUGUUAGAAGCUUUCAAAUUAAGUUGUAUUACCCACAAACGCUGUAAUCAUGAAAAUCUGUUGACCUAUAGAGUAACUUGUAUGAAAAUUUCCAUACAUUGUGAGCCAAGUUUUUCUACUAUGUACCUACUUCAUCGAUGCAUUUUGAACUUUAAUAUAGGAAGGGGAAGAAGAAGGAGAUGAGGAAAACGAUCCUGACUAUGACCCAAAGAAGGAUCAGAACCCAGCAGAGUGCAAGCAGCAGUGAAGAGGAAGUCUGGCCAUGAGGACGGCCUACCCUGUAAUAGCCUAAACCCGACUGUCUCUUACUUACAGCCUUACAUUUUGUAUUUGCUUGGUAGACUCAGUACGUUUUUAAAGGAAAGGAAGUUGAUAUUUUAAAGACCAAUUUGUUCUACCUAGCAUCCUAACUAGAGUUCUGUCAGAUAUGUUGAAUGCAUAACUCCUUGCUAAUGCAUGUCCAUUUAUUGCUGCAGCUUGGUUCUUCUGGAAUAUUUUCACCAUAUUGGAAUACAGUUAUGAAAGUCUACUAACUGUUGAGCACAUUUGGUGUAGCUGUUUCUUUCCUAAAGAACCAAAGUUGUUUCCAGCUGAUAGAACAGGUUGAAGUCAUUAGCUCCUGCUUCCACUACAUUGUCAGGAUGAUGCGGUGACUGACAGAUUGGAGAAAAGGAAGUUGUGGUUAAGAAUUUCCAGUUAAGAUCAAACCUAAUAACAGAUUAUUAAGGGAGUUUUAUAUUUUAGAUGAUAUAAUUAUAACAGAAGUCAACUCAUGGUUAUUCGUUAUCAUAGUAAGGUGAACAAACCCUAGGGUUUUUUUGUUUUUUUUCAGAAGUUAAUCUGAUAGUAUUUAAAUGUACUUUGGAAAUUAACCUCCAUUAAUUAAGUAUCUUUUCUUUGUGGUAGGGCCUACCCUUCUGCUUUCCUGGAAAGGAUGGAUUUACAUCAUUUGAACCUAUUUUGAAUUUUCUCGUUUGUUUGUUUGCCUACUUUUGUUUUUAUAGCCUAAAAUAAAAAUGUUGCACAGUCUUAGCUCUCCCAGGAUGCUGUCUGUUUGUACUGAUGGAGGAGGCUAUUGCAGAGGGUUAGCUGCAGCCCAGGGAUGCCUAGUUUUCCGGAUUUCCGGAUUGAACAGCUUGGAGGUGGCAAUACGCCUGCGCUUUUAAAAGGGGGACAAGUGAUGUGUGAUAUUUUUUUUUUUUUUUUUUUUAAACAAAAAGGUUAAAUUCCAUUUGUUAAACUAAGUAGCUGUUUGGCUUCUUUGUUUCUGCUCAAGGAUGAGUGGUGUGUCCUCUAGCCAUGCCCCUGUUUGCUGUGGACAGUUAGGAACGGGUAGUCCUGUUGACUUAACUACCUCACAGAUAUGUUAAGGCAUACUGGGGUAAAUCUCACAAACUUUCUCAGUCUUACUAAAUGCUCACAAACACAGUGGGGCCUCUGUACCACAUUGUCGUCACACUAAGCUUGGCUAAUUCAACUGGAGAAGUUUAAACACCUAUAAUUACAGGUCUGAGCAUGUGACUCCUAUUGUAGUAGGAAUGGAUGAAAUUAGUGUGCCAUUUCAAGAGAUCGAUGGGUUGUUUUUAUUUAAUUUCAAGUGACCACAUUGUAAUAAAUUCCCAAAGUGGUAAUGAGGCCAUUGCAGGGAAGGGUGACAUUAAGUUUUAGAGACCGAGAGCUACAUUAAAAAUACCUCAGGCUAAUUACUGUUCAUUGGGGGGAAGGAACUUUUCUUCACAGGGUAUAGUGAUUGAACAGUGUAUCGUUCCUGCUGUUAAUAAAAUUUACAUUGAGUUGUUUUUUUCUUUUGUGGAGAGGUGAUAGCUCUUUGUGGAAUUUUCGUAUUGAGGUCUUAGGAUGUGAACACAUUUUAUAGCUGACCCCUUCCGGAGACUUUUAACUACUGGAAAUCCUUAACCAAUUGCAUUGUUUCCUUUAUUUUGAAAAUACUUUGGUUGCUUUCUAUUAGAUGGUUUGUACUAUUUUCUGUAAUCAUAGGCAUCUAAACACAGCUUAUUUUCUUGAACAUUCACGUUUGUAAUCUAAAGACAGAAGCCCAUUUUCGGUGGAUUUGGAGAACCAGUGCUUCCCUCCCUCCCUCCCUGAGGAGGAGGCUGUUGCCAAAGUAACAGGUAGCUGCAGCUUGUUGUGUAAUGGGAAUGUGCUGUGGACACAGGUCAGUGGUCAUUAUGACACACUACCAGUUCCCUGAUGGUCUACUCCAUUCUAGAAGUCUGAAAUAUGUAAUUUGAAAUCCUUAAUAAAAUUGGAUCUAAUUUUAUAAAAUA